rnacentral:rRNA from 1 species
ACGGAGGGAGCUAGCGUUGUUCGGAAAUACUGGGCGUAAAGCGCACGUAGGCGGCGCCGCAAGUCAGGGGUGAAAUCCCGGGGCUCAACCCCGGAACUGCCCUUGAAACUGCAGUGCUAGAAUCCUGGAGAGGCGAGUGGAAUUCCGAGUGUAGAGGUGAAAUUCGUAGAUAUUCGGAAGAACACCAGUGGCGAAGGCGACUCGCUGGACAGGUAUUGACGCUGAGGUGCGAAAGCGUGGGGAGCAAACAGG